GUGGAUGAAGAAACAGCAUUCUUCUUGGAGGAACUGGCAAAGACCACCAUCCUAAGCUGUCAGAACGUCUAGCCCCCAUCGGGUUUUGAAGUACCACAGCUGCCAAUGCAUCAAUCUGUUUCUGGACAGUUUAAAAGUAGCAAGACUGGCUAUGAAGAUUCUGAAGUAGCAGAUAUAUUUUUAUCAUCAGAUAUAUGGAUAUAUUAUCAGCUAUCCCGUGCCGGGGACCAGCCCCACAUUAGUCUUCUUUCUCCUGUUGGUUCUUCUUGAAGCAGCGGAGGGGGAAGAGCAUCUGUGGAGGGUAAGACUUAGUCUUAGGAGAUAUUUAGGGUUGCUGUAUAAUAAUAAGUUUACUUAUCUAAGUCUAAGUUACUAUGUUACUAUAACUGAUUUACUUAUCUAUGUCUAAGUCCCUAUGUUCUGCUACUGGUACUGACCUACUUUCUGUGUUCCUCUGAGGCCAGAAACUGCAGGCUCUGGCAUUUAGCACCUCAUUCUAAAA
rnacentral:sRNA from 1 species